rnacentral:rRNA from 1 species
GAUGAACGCUGGCGGCGUGCCUAAUACAUGCAAGUCGAGCGAACAGACGAGGAGCUUGCUCCUCUGACGUCAGCGGCGGACGGGUGAGUAACACGUGGAUAACCUACCUAUAAGACUGGGAUAACUUCGGGAAACCGGAGCUAAUACCGGAUAAUAUAUUGAACCGCAUGGUUCAAUAGUGAAGGACGGUUUUGCUGUCACUUAUAGAUGGAUCCGCGCCGCAUUAGCUAGUUGGUAAGGUAACGGCUUACCAAGGCAACGAUGCGUAGCCGACCUGAGAGGGUGAUCGGCCAGAUGGGAACUGAGACACGGUCCAGACUCCGACGGGAGGCAGCAGUAGGGAAUCUUCCGCAAUGGGCGAAAGCUUGACGGAGCAACGCCGCGUGAGUGAUGAAGGUCUUCGGAUCGGAAAACUCUGUUAUUAGGGAAGAACAAAUGUGUAAUUAACUAUGCACGUCUUGACGGUACCUAAUCAGAAAGCCACGGCUAACUACGUG